GGAGACUAUCAAAUUUACGGUCGCACUAGAAAUGAACUUGUGAUGACAGGUUUGGUCGUAUUAAGACACCAAAUCCUAUCAAACUUUGCCUAGUGCAAUAGCUCAAUUACUGUGAAUAGCGACUUUCAGGCUGGACAACAAGUAGAUCUUAUAAGUAUGGUGGAGCCAAGUACAUAAUGCGAUGCUUGACUGGACAAGUAAAAGAUAAUGAUGGCAUUUUAAAAGUAUUUCCUCGAAGAACAAAAAAAAAACAAAACAGAA